rnacentral:rRNA from 1 species
GACGAACGCUGGCGGCGUGCUUAACACAUGCAAGUCGAACGGAAAGGCCCUGCUUUUGUGGGGUGCUCGAGCGGCGAACGGGUGAGUAACACGUGAGUAACCUGCCCUUGACUUUGGGAUAACUUCAGGAAACUGGGGCUCAUACCGGAUAGGAGCUCCUGCUGCAUGGUGGGGGUUGGAAAGUUUCGGCGGUUGGGGGUGGACUGGCGGCUUAUCAGCUUGUUGGGGGGGUAGUGGCUUACCAAGGCUUUGACGGGUAGCCGGGCUGAGAGGGUGACCGGCCACAUUGGGACUGGAAUGCGGCCCAGACUCCUACGGGAGGCGGCGGUGGGGAAUAGUGCACAAUGGGAGGAGGCCUGGUGCAGCAACGCCACGUGCGGGAUGGCAGCAUUCGGGUUGUAAACCACUUUCGCCUGUGACGAGGCGUAAGUGACGGUAAUGGGUAAAGAAGCACCGGCUAACUACGUG